AAAUGUAUGAAAUGUAAGUGGCUCUGGAUAAGAGCAUCUGCUAAAUGACAAAAA
rfam:Salmo salar isolate Sally breed double haploid chromosome ssa21, whole genome shotgun sequence.